rnacentral:rRNA from 1 species
CCUACGGGUGGCAGCAGUGGGGAAUUUUGGACAAUGGGCGCAAGCCUGAUCCAGCCAUGCCGCGUGUCUGAAGAAGGCCUUCGGGUUGUAAAGGACUUUUGUCAGGGAAGAAAAGGCUGUUGCUAAUAUCGACAGCUGAUGACGGUACCUGAAGAAUAAGCACCGGCUAACUACGUGCCAGCAGCCGCGGGACUACGUUGGGUGCGAGCGUUAAUCGGAAUUACUGGGCGUAAAGCGAGCGCAGACGGUUACUUAAGCAGGAUGUGAAAUCCCCGGGCUCAACCUGGGAACUGCGUUCUGAACUGGGGGACUAGAGUGUGUCAGAGGGAGGUAGAAUUCCACGUGUAGCAGUGAAAUGCGUAGAGAUGUGGAGGAAUACCGAUGGCGAAGGCAGCCUCCUGUGAUAACACUGACGUUCAUGCUCGAAAGCGUGGGUAGCAAACAGGAUUAGAUACCCCAGUAGUC